CAGAUAGAUGGCAGUAUAGCGCAGCUGUUGAACGGAAAGGCCAAAGUAGAAUGUUUGCCGAAAUAUAACGAAACUUCUCAGCUACAACGACCGACAUAUCAGUUUGCUAUUAGCUAAUUUUGCAGUCUGGUCGACAUGGAUCGAUUUAUUGUAAAAAAGAAACGUAAAUCUAUUGAAAAUGAAGGAGAAGAGCUGGAGAACGUGACAGCUAUGAACGAACAACCACAUGAGAACCAAGAAAGUCAGGAAGAUGGAGGCGGGGAAAUGCAGCUGGAAAACUUGGCUCCGGUGGCUAAGAGAAGGAUAUAGUCGACUAAAGAAGAACACAAAGUUCCAAGAGAAAUAGACAGACAAGUAUUUUUUUGUACUGCAUAAUGGGACUAUUUCACUUUGUCUUAUUUGCCUGAAGGCAGUCAAUUGUUUUAAACGAGCAAAUUUAGAACGACAUUUCCAGUCACACCAUGUCCACUUUGACAAAACAUAUCCGCCACAAAGCAACUUCAGAAACAACAAAAUAGCGCAACUUAAAGGAUAGCUCAAAGAACAACAACAAAUGAUGGACAGAUCUCGCACUUUUGCAGAGAAAACAUAUGAGAUUGCUUGAAUAAUCGCAAGAAACCUGGCGGCCUUCACAGAUGCGGAGAUUGUCAAAGAAUGUUUUUUUGCCUCAGCCGAAAUAUCGUAUGCUGAUUUCACAAACAUGCAAGCUAUUUUAAAGCAAAUUAAGACUGCAACUCUCAGAUUCGACCAUAGCAAGACGCAUAGAAGACAUCGGGACAAACACGAGGAGAGGAUAUUCUGAAAGCCAUUGUUACAUUUUUGCUGAUAAUCAUAUAGACUGGUCAAAUCUGGCAUCUGUGUGCACUGACGGCGCCCCAAACAUGUGAGGGAAGGAGAAGGGACUCAACAAUGAACACUGAAUCAAAAACAGAGAAACAGACUGACUAAUGCACACCUGGAUUGCCUCAAGGACAGCAACAACAGAUUAUAAAUUUAGAAUGAAUUCAGUCAAGGAGCAAAAGGGACAUUUUCGCUCCAACUACUGAGGUAACCCUUAAUAUGGGUCUUAUACAUGUGAUGUAGCCUAUUUGAUGUGUGUAUGUAUAUAUUUGUGAUGUGCUGUACAUCAAAUCAUUUGCUUGUGCUCUUUUGCUGUGGUUUUUACUAGAUUACUUGUAGUUUUUCAUGUUGUUUGUCUGUAAUUUUUGUAAUGACUUGGCGCUGCCUAUCUUGGCCAGGAC
rnacentral:lncRNA from 1 species